ensembl:snRNA Gm24750 predicted gene, 24750
AUCCUAGUUUUGGAAGCACAUAUACUUAAAUUGGAACAAUACAGAGAUUAGUAGGAUACCUGAUCCAGGAAAAUAAGCAAAUUCAUGAAACAUUUCUUAUAUUU